rnacentral:rRNA from 1 species
AUUGAACGCUGGCGGCAUGCCUUACACAUGCAAGUCGAACGGCAGCACGGGGGCAACCCUGGUGGCGAGUGGCGAACGGGUGAGUAACAUAUCGGAACGUGCCCUGGAGUGGGGGAUAACUAGUCGAAAGACUAGCUAAUACCGCAUACGAUCUACGGAUGAAAGUGGGGGAUCGCAAGACCUCAUGCUCGUGGAGCGGCCGAUAUCUGAUUAGCAGUUGGUGGGUAAGGCCUACCAAGGCAUCGAUCAGUAGCUGGUCUGAGAGGACGACCAGCCACACUGGGACUGAGACACGGCCCAGACUCCUACGGGAGGCAGCAGUGGGGAAUUUUGGACAA